rnacentral:tRNA from 1 species
AAGGGAGAAAGACCUCUCGGGAGAGUGCUAAUUUUUCUGAGCCGCAGUUUAAAUCCGCGGGUCCCUUG